GACGAACGCUGGCGGCGUGCUUAACACAUGCAAGUCGAACGGAUUGGCGAUCGGGUGAGUAACACGUUGGUGACCUCCCCUGCACUUCUGGAUAAGCCUGGGGCACUGGGUCUAAUACCGGAACGUGUGGUAUGGGCCCGCGGCCUAUCAGCUUGUUGGUGGGUUAAUGGCCUACCAAGGCGGCGACUGGUAGCCGGCCUGCGAGGGUGGACGUCCACAUUGGGCCUGAGACACGGACCAGAGGGCUACGGGAGGCAGCAGUGGGGAAUAUUGCGCAAUGGGCGGAAGCCUGAUGCAGCGACGCCGCGUGGGGGAUGACGGCUUUCGGGUUGUAAACUCCUUUCACCAUCGACGCGGUAGAUGGAGAAGAAGCACCGGCUAACUACGUGCCAGCAGCCGCGGUAAUAC
rnacentral:rRNA from 1 species